rnacentral:rRNA from 1 species
GACGAACGCUGGCGGCGUGCUUAACACAUGCAAGUCGAACGGAAAGGCCCUGCUUUUGUGGGGUGCUCGAGUGGCGAACGGGUGAGUAACACGUGAGUAACCUGCCCUUGACUUUGGGAUAACUUCAGGAAACUGGGGCUAAUACCGGAUAGGAGCUCCUGCUGCAUGGUGGGGGUUGGAAAGUUUCGGCGGUUGGGGAUGGACUCGCGGCUUACCAGCUUGUUGGUGGGGUAGUGGCUUACCAAGGCUUUGACGGGUAGCCGGCCUGAGAGGUUGACCGGCCACAUUGGGACUGAGAUACGGCCCAGACUCCUACGGGAGGCAGCAGUGGGGAAUAUUGCACAAUGGGCGGAAGCCUGAGGCAGCAACGCCGCGUGCGGGAUGACGGCCUUCGGGUUGUAAACCGCUUUCGCCUGUGACGAAGCGUGAGUGACGGUAAUGGGUAAAGAAGCACCGGCUAACUACGUG